CCCUUCAUGGUGUAAAUGGAAGCACACUAGAUUCGUAUUCGAGAUUUUCUGGGUUUGAGUCCCAGCAAGGGCA
rnacentral:tRNA from 1 species